rnacentral:rRNA from 1 species
GGCGACACUAGCCUGUCGCUGGGAUUUUUCUUUGAGAUAACCAGCAGCCACAGUACUGAUGUAGUGUGGUUCACAGAUCAAACACUAGUGGCCUGAGAAGUUCACGACCCAACUCACCGGCCUUCAGGGCAUCAGCCUACGGGCAACCUCCGGUUCGUGUAGUCAUUGUUCCUCCCUGAGAGUCGUACUGUAACCUCUGACCCUAACUGCAUGCACAACCUGACGGUUGCACGGAAGGGUUCGAGCUCUCGGAACUGAGAACGGUAAUAGGUCUUCCCGAACCGUGUGCUUGAUUGGUGAAUUGGGCGUGAAUGUGGGUUAAAAUAUGACCGGCCCCAUCUCGAGACGGAUUGGGAGUCACGUGUUCCGUA